rnacentral:rRNA from 1 species
GGUGAACGCUAGCGGCAGGCCUAAUACAUGCAAGUCGAACGGUGUCUUCGGACAUAGUGGCGCACGGGUGCGUAACACGUAUGCAACCUACCUUACAUUGGGGGAUAGCCUUUCGAAAGGGAGAUUAAUACCGCAUAAGACAGUAGCUGGGCAUCCAGCAGCUGUUAAAGAUUUAUCGAUGUAAGCUGGGCAUGCGUCCAAUUAGCUAGUUGGUGAGGUAACGGCUCACCAAGGCAAUGAUUGGUAGGGGAACUGAGAGGUCAAUCCCCCACACUGGCACUGAGAUACGGGCCAGACUCCUACGGGAGGCAGCAGUAGGGAAUAUUGGGCAAUGGACGCAAGUCUGACCCAGCCAUGCCGCGUGCAGGAUGAAGGCGUUAUGCGUUGUAAACUGCUUUUAUACAGGAAGAAACGACUCUUGCGAGAGGCAUUGGCGGUACUGUAUGAAUAAGCACCGGCUAACUCCGUGCCAGCCGCCGCCGUAAGAC